rnacentral:rRNA from 1 species
UACCAUGGUAGUAACGGGUAACGGGGUGUUAGGGCACGACACCGGAGAGGGAGCCUGAGAAACGGCUACCACAUCCAAGGAUGGCAGCAGGCGCGCAAAUUACCCAAUCCCGACACGGGGAGGUAGUGACAAUAAAUAACAAUACGGGGUUCUUUAGGAUCUCGUAAUUGGAAUGAGUACAAUUUAAAUCUCUUAACGAGGAACAAUUGGAGGGCAAGUCUGGUGCCAGCAGCCGCGGUAAUUCCAGCUCCAAUAGCGUAUAUUAAAGUUGUUGCAGUUAAAAAGCUCGUAGUUGAAUUUCGGGGUCAGUAGGUCGGUCGUGCCACUGGUAUGAACUGGUUUUACUGAUUCCUCCCUCUUGAAGAACUGUAAUGCCAUUAAUUUGGUGUUGCAGGGAAUCAGGACUGUUACUUUGAAAAAAUUAGAGUGUUUAAAGCAGGCUUUAGCUUGAAUACAUUAGCAUGGAAUAAUGAAAUAGGACGUUUGAUCCUAUUUUGUUGGUUUCUAGGACUGACGUAAUGAUUAAUAGGGAUAGUUGGGGGCAUUAGUAUUCAAUUGUCAGAGGUGAAAUUCUUGGAUUUAUUGAAGACUAACUACUGCGAAAGCAUUUGCCAAGGAUGUUUUCAUUAAUCAAGAACGAAAGUUAGGGGAUCGAAGACGAUCAGAUACCGUCGUAGUCUUAACCAUAAACUAUGCCGACUAGGGAUCGGAUGAUGUUAAUUUUUUAAUGACUCAUUCGGCGCCUUACGGGAAACCAAAGUGUUU